AUGAAGAUGGCCAUGCUGAGAACCAUUUUUCUUUUCUCUCUCAUCAGUUUUUUCCAAUUUUCCACCUGUUCUACUUUGGUUAAACCAAAGAGUAGUUCACAAGGUAAGUAGCUGUCCCCCUUAAUUAUUCUCUUUUGUAACUUUUGCUGUUGAUUAGCUUUGGUAAACUGUAUUUUUGUCUGCGUGCGUAACGAGAUGCUUUAUAAAGUUAUAAUUAAUCCGCUCAAAAGACAAGGGAAAUUAUUUGUCAACGGGUCUACUGUGAUUGAGUUUCUUCUGAGAAUCACAUGAGCCGUCUUACAUGUGCAGGGUCGUCACAAAAAACAUGGUUUGUGAGCAUAGAUAACUACAAUGAUGUCCAACUCCGUUCACCGCCACCACCUCCGAAAGCAGGACCGACACCAGGCCAGUCACCAAGUCCAAAAGAUCUUCUAUCCAAGUCCAAGAGAGCUCCUCCAAGUCGAUACACAGCUUCAGCUUGA
rnacentral:lncRNA from 1 species